UAUCCGUUGGUGAACCAGCGGAGGGAUCAUUACCGAGUUUACAACUCCCAAACCCAAUGUGAACCAUACCAAACUGUUGCCUCGGCGGGGUCACGCCCCGGGUGCGUCGCAGCCCCGGAACCAGGCGCCCGCCGGAGGGACCACCAAACUCUUUCUGUAGUCCCCUCGCGGACGUUAUUUUUACAGCUCUGAGCAAAAAUUCAAAAUGAAUCAAAACUUUCAACAACGGAUCUCUUGGUUCUG
rnacentral:misc_RNA from 1 species